rfam:Picea glauca, whole genome shotgun sequence.
GUUCAAACGAGGAAGGGCUUACGGUGGAUACCUAGGCACCUAGAGACGAGGAAGGGCGUGGUAAGGGAUGAAAUGCUUCGGGGAGUUGAAAAUGAGCAUAGAUCCGGAGAUUCCCGAAUAGGUUAACCUUUUUAACUGCUGUUGAAUCCAUGGGUAGGAAAGAGACAACUUGGCGAACUGAAACAUCUUAGUAGCCAGAGGAAUAGAAAGAAAAAGAGAUUCCCGUAGUAGCGGCGAGCGAAAUGGGAGCAGCCCAAAUUGUGAAAACGGGGUUGUGGGAGAGCACAAUAUAAGCUCUGUGCUGCUAGGCGAAAUGGUUGAGUCCUACACCCUAGAUGGUGAGAGUCUAGUAGCCAAAAGCAUCAUUGGGUUACGCUCUAACCUGAGUAGCAUGGGGCACGUGGAAUCCCAUGUGAAUCAGCAAGAACCACCUUGCAAGGCUAAAUACUCCUGGGUAACCGAUAGCGAAGUAGUACCAUGAGGGAAAUGUGAGAAGAACCCCCAUCGGGGAGUGAAAUAGAACAUGAAACCGUAAGCUCCCAAGCUGUGGGAGGAAAAUGAUAUCUCUGAACGCGUGCCUAUUGAAGAAUGAGCCGACGACUUAUAGGCACUGGCUUGGUUAAGGGAACCCACCGGAGCCAUAGAGAGAGUGAGUCUUCAUGGGGCAAUUUUCACUGCUUAUGGACCCGAACCUGGGUAAUCUAUCCAUGACUAGGAUGAAGCUUGGGUGAAACUAAGUGGAGGUCCAAACUGACUGAUGUUGAAAAAUCAGUGUAUGAGUCGUGGUUAGGGGUGAAAUGCCACUCGAACCCAGAGCUAGUUGGUUCUCCCCGAAAUGCGUUGAGGCGCAGCAGUUGACUGGACCAUCUAGGGGUAAAGCAUUAUUUCGGUACGGGCCAUGAGAGUGGUACCAAAUCAAGGAAAACUCUGAAUACUAGAUUGCC